rnacentral:rRNA from 1 species
GACGAACGCUGGCGGCGUGCUUAACACAUGCCAGUCGAACGGAAAGGCCUGCUUUCCCUUGUGGAUUGCGGGUGCUCGAGUGGCGAACGGGUGAGUAACACGUGAGUGAUCUGCCCCCAACUUGGGUAUAAGCCUGGGAAACUGGGUCUAAUUCCCGAUAGGACUGCAGGGUGGUGCCUGUGGUGGAAAACGAUUUUCUAGUGGUUGGGGAUGAGCUCGCGGCCUAUCAGCUUGUUGGUGGGGUAAUGGCCUACCAAGGCGGCGACGGGUAGCCGGCCUGAGAGGGUGGACGGCCACAUUGGGACUGAGAUACGGCCCAGACUCCUACGGGAGGCAGCAGUGGGGAAUAUUGCACAAUGGGCGGAAGCCUGAUGCAGCGACGCCGCGUGGGGGAUGACGGCCUUCGGGUUGUAAACUCCUUUCGACCGCGAGGAAGCCACCUGGUUGGAAGGGUGGUGACGGUAGUGGUAGAAGAAGCACCGGCUAACUACGUG